AUUUCCAUAAUCCAAAAUGCUUGUAUUAGGUGUGUGGUAAAAUCUUUUUAUCUUGCCCAAACCAUGCCACGCCGCCCGACAUUACUUUCCAACUAUGCUAGAGCGGUGGGCGUGACCUAAAAUCACCUGCGCCUGUGCCUAGGUAGGCGUAUACAAAUCACGGGUCGAAGUGAGCUUAACAAAAAACAGAAACGGCCAUUACAUUCCGGCCCCUAAUUCUUGAACAACAAGUAAUUAUAAAUCUAUAUACAAUAUAUACAAGUGAAUGGCCAUUACAAGUGUGUGGUAAAAUCUUUUUAUCUUGCCCAAACCAUGCCACGCCGCCCGACAUUACUUUCCAACUAUGCUAGAGCGGUGGGCGUGACCUAAAAUCACCUGCGCCUGUGCCUAGGUAGGCGUAUACAAAUCACGGGUCGAAGUGAGCUUAACAAAAAACAGAAACGGCCAUUACAGGUGGUGUUGGUGGAGGACCAGCAGUGGGUGUAGUCUAGGUGCUGGGAGGCGUUGGGUGGUGUUGGACCAGCAGUGGGUGUAGUCUAGGGGCUGGGAGGCGUUGGGUGGUGUUGGUGGAGGACCAGCAGUGGGUGUAGUCUAGGGGCUGGGAGGCGUUGGGUGGUGUUGGACCAGCAGCGGGUGUAGUGCUACAGCUAUGUGGCUUGGGUCAGGACGCAGAAGGUGGGAGCUACUGCGUCAAGGAUGGGGACCCUGAAGCAGUAUGUGCUGGCCCGGGACGCUGAGCCCACAGCAGCACCGGAGCCAGGACAUGUCCUCCCACGGCCAGGUGUCUCCUACUCUGACCCGACCGACGCCGAACUGCUCGCCGCUGCCGACGAGGUCGACCCUCCCAGUGAGUAUACGUUUUGAUGUGAAUACACUUGUACCGCACGUUUAACGCACCUCCCUAACGCUCAUAUGGGUUGUCAGGCACGUCCAGGGACGCCCCGCCGGCCGCGGCCCCGCUGGAAGGACCAGCACCAGGUCCAGGACCAGGACCGAUGGCCACGAGACCUGCCUCCGGCAAAGAGGUUUGUAUAAUGUGUGUCUGUGUGUGUGUGUAUAUGAUGUGUGUGUUUUUGUGUGCCUGUCUGCUGAACAUUCACACCCGCUAACUGUGUGUGUCUGCUGCGUGUGUGUUUCAGCUGCUUCCCCUCAGCUGGAGGAAGACGCUGCCUGAGGAGCAGCAGGAGUGGGUGGGCCGGGCGCUGUUCCACAGGGACCCCAGCAGCGGGAAGGCGGUGCUCACCACACCGCCCCGACUGUGGUGGUACCCGCCAGGCGCCCGGCUCCUCUACACGCCGCCCCCCGCCACAGCCCACGCCUUCUUCCAGCGCCCCUUCU
rnacentral:lncRNA from 1 species